AUGAGAAGUUAAGAGUUCAUUCGGCUGUCCAGAUGUAUCCAAGUACCCCAUUAUUUGGCAAUAAAUACAUCUGGGCAACUGAUUGAACUUUUCGCUUUUCAU
rfam:Camelus ferus unplaced genomic scaffold scaffold384, whole genome shotgun sequence.